UACGGAGGAUCCAAGCGUUAUCCGGAAUCAUUGGGUGUAAAGGGUCCGUAGGCGGUUUUGUAAGUCAGUGGUGAAAGCCCAUCGCUCAACGGUGGAACGGCCAUUGAUACUGCAAGACUUGAAUUAUUAGGAAGUAACUAGAAUAUGUAGUGUAGCGGUGAAAUGCUUAGAUAUUACAUGGAAUACCAAUUGCGAAGGCAGGUUACUGCUAAUAUAUUGACGCUGAUGGACGAAAGCGUGGGGAGCGAACAGG
rnacentral:rRNA from 1 species